rnacentral:ncRNA from 2 species
GGUCCUGAGCGUCAGCGUCAAGCCCCGGCUCGCUGACCGGCAACCCUCCACUGGGACGGGGUGCCCCGGGUGACGACCUGGCGGACGCGCACCGCGCGUCCGCAAGCCCAGCCG